AUUGAACGCUGGCGGCAUGCUUUACACAUGCAAGUCGGACGGCAGCACAGGGAAGCUUGCUUCUCGGGUGGCGAGUGGCGAACGGGUGAGUAACAUAUCGGAACGUACCGGGUAGCGGGGGAUAACUGAUCGAAAGAUCAGCUAAUACCGCAUACGUCUUGAGAGGGAAAGCAGGGGACCUUCGGGCCUUGCGCUAUCCGAGCGGCCGAUAUCUGAUUAGCUGGUUGGCGGGGUAAAGGCCCACCAAGGCGACGAUCAGUAGCGGGUCUGAGAGGAUGAUCCGCCACACUGGGACUGAGACACGGCCCAGACUCCUACGGGAGGCAGCAGUGGGGAAUUUUGGACAAUGGGCGCAAGCCUGAUCCAGCCAUGCCGCGUGUCUGAAGAAGGCCUUCGGGUUGUAAAGGACUUUUGUCAGGGAAGAAAAGGCCGUUGCCAAUAUCGGCGGCCGAUGACGGUACCUGAAGAAUAAGCACCGGCUAACUACGUGCCAGCAGCCGCGGUAAUACGUAGGGUGCGAGCGUUAAUCGGAAUUACUGGGCGUAAAGCGGGCGCAGACGGUUACUUAAGCAGGAUGUGAAAUCCCCGGGCUCAACCCGGGAACUGCGUUCUGAACUGGGUGACUCGAGUGUGUCAGAGGGAGGUGGAAUUCCACGUGUAGCAGUGAAAUGCGUAGAGAUGUGGAGGAAUACCGAUGGCGAAGGCAGCCUCCUGGGAUAACACUGACGUUCAUGUCCGAAAGCGUGGGUAGCAAACAGGAUUAGAUACCCUGGUAGUCCACGCCCUAAACGAUGUCAAUUAGCUGUUGGGCAACUUGAUUGCUUGGUAGCGUAGCUAACGCGUGAAAUUGACCGCCUGGGGAGUACGGUCGCAAGAUUAAAACUCAAAGGAAUUGACGGGGACCCGCACAAGCGGUGGAUGAUGUGGAUUAAUUCGAUGCAACGCGAAGAACCUUACCUGGUUUUGACAUGUGCGGAAUCCUCCGGAGACGGAGGAGUGCCUUCGGGAGCCGUAACACAGGUGCUGCAUGGCUGUCGUCAGCUCGUGUCGUGAGAUGUUGGGUUAAGUCCCGCAACGAGCGCAACCCUUGUCAUUAGUUGCCAUCAUUCGGUUGGGCACUCUAAUGAGACUGCCGGUGACAAGCCGGAGGAAGGUGGGGAUGACGUCAAGUCCUCAUGGCCCUUAUGACCAGGGCUUCACACGUCAUACAAUGGUCGGUACAGAGGGUAGCCAAGCCGCGAGGCGGAGCCAAUCUCACAAAACCGAUCGUAGUCCGGAUUGCACUCUGCAACUCGAGUGCAUGAAGUCGGAAUCGCUAGUAAUCGCAGGUCAGCAUACUGCGGUGAAUACGUUCCCGGGUCUUGUACACACCGCCCGUCACACCAUGGGAGUGGGGGAUACCAGAAGUAGGUAGGGUAACCGCAAGGAGUCCGCUUACCACGGUAUGCUUCAUGACUGGGGUGAAGUCGUAACAAGGUAGCCGUAGGGGAACCUGCGGCUGGAUCACCUCCUUUCU
rnacentral:rRNA from 1 species